CCCUUAGAUGUUCUGGGCGGCCCGCGCACUACAUUGGCACUCCCAAUAAGUUCCUAGAUCUAAAACUUUGGGGUAUUCUAUUAAGUGGUGUCGUGACUGGGAUUAACCCUUGCAAUUAUUGGUUACGAACGAGGAAUUCCUUGUAAUCGCGGUUUAUCAGCCCGCGUUGAAUGCGUCCCUGCCCUUUGUACACACCGCCCGUCGCUCCUACCGAUGAAUCGUCCGGUGAAGUUCAUGGAGUGGUGGUUGUUCCAGCUGCUGUCGAAGUGAAAUGGACCUCACGAUUUAGAGGAAGGAGAAGUCGUAACA
rnacentral:rRNA from 1 species